CGCAGACGGCAACCGAAGCAGACAAGCAGAUCCUCAUCGGGCUGAUGCUGCUCGCCUUUGCCCUUGCUGCCGGCAGCACCUUCGUCUUCUGGCGUGGGCAGAUCGCCGCCCUCGUCACAUCAGGGGUUCGACGCCAUGGCCGCUGACGACGACCUGCCCGGGCCACGCCCGGGCUUCCUCGCCCGUCUUUCGGCGAUCGAGACGAUCGUGGUCGCGCUCAUUGCCCUGUUCGCCCUUGCCGGCCUGAUGCUGGUCGGCAAGGGAUUUUACAUGAAGGCCAAGGCCGAGGUCUCUCAAGUCCUCUUGAAAAAGAGCUUCGAGGCACAAUUGCACGGCGAGGCCAAUGGCAGGCCCUGGCCCUGGGCCGACUUCGAAACGACAGCGGAAAUCAUGGCGCCGCGCAUCAACCGCUCGGCGAUCGUGCUCAAGGGCGCAAGCGGCCAGGCGCUUGCCUUCGGACCUGCCUGGCUCACAAACACCCCCCUUCCCGGCGACGAAGGCACCUCGGUCAUCGCCGCCCACCGCGACACGCAUUUCCGCUGGCUGAAGGAUGUGUCCGCGGGCGACCUGCUGGUGCUGACCCGCAAGGACGGGCGGCGCUUUCUCUUCCGCGCCGGCGAAGGCCGGGUCGCGCGCUGGGACGAGAGCGGCAUCAACGCCUCGGCCAGUGGCCACAAGCUGGCGCUUGCCACCUGCUUCCCUUUCGAUGCGAUCGAGCCGGGACCGAUGCGCUACAUCGUGACCGCCGAACUGGUCGGCGAGCAGCAUCCGGUGCCGCUGACGACAGGCUCGGUUUCGAAAUAAAGCCAUUUUGAUCCGAUUUGACUUGAACGAACCGGGUGACCACUCCAGCUUGGCGUGUGGCGGCAUGAACUGAUCGGAGAUAUCGAAUGUGGCAGGCGCAGGCAUCAAGGCUGGAAACGACCCGGAUGGCGGGAACAAUUCGCGCGCUGCCGCUCCUCGCCGGCCUUGUUUCGUUUGCCGCCCCGUUUGCUGCCGCAGCACAGGAAACG
rnacentral:misc_RNA from 1 species